rnacentral:lncRNA from 1 species
CGUAAAACAAAAACCACACAUCCACAUCCAACAAAUGAGAUUGGAUCUUUUUCUUCUACAGUACAUAAAAACCUCUUUCAAAUGGAUGAAAGACUGAAAUGUGAAAUCUGGCACCAUAUAACUCCUAAAACAAUAUGUGAUAAAGGACUAUAUUAUUGUCCUCACAAUGGUCUUUCUCCAUAAGGCACCAAACUUUGGACCAUAAGAAAAACUGAACAAGUGGAGCUAUGUUAAAAUUAAAGGCUCCUGUGCAUCAAAGGAGAAACCAGCAACAUUUCCCCACUUCUCUCUUUGUUUUAUUGUUUGUUUUUCUUUUACUGUUUGUUAAAAUAUUUCUUAUGGUAACAAUACUUAAGGUUUAUCAUCUUACCAAAUAUUUAAAUGUACAGCACAUUUCUAUUGACCAUAGAUACCUUGUUGUAAGGAAGCUUUCUAGAGCUUAUUUAUCCUGCUUGACUGAAACUUUAUGCCCACUGAUCAGAACUGCCUUUUCUCCAUUCCCCUAGUUCCUGGCAACCACUGUUGCUAAGAAUCUAGCAAAAUUAAGACACACUAUGAGUGGGAGAAAAUUCCAGGAGGCAAAAUAUCCUAUGGAAAGUUGAUAUCUUUAUGACAGAAGAAGUUCAAGGGUAAAAAUAGGAAUAAUCCCACUACAAGUGAGUGAAGCACUUGAAUAAAAUGUUCCCUAUAGGAUAUAGCUAUGUGUAAAGGAGCUCCAUAUCACUAAUCAUGAGAGGAAUGCAAAUCCAAAUGACAUUGUCAUAUAUCCUACGCUAUUAGGAUAGUUCUGGAAGUUCAAAAUAUACCAGUUGGUGAGAAUGUUAGGGAAUAC